rnacentral:rRNA from 1 species
AGAGUUUGAUCCUGGCUCAGAUUGAACGCUGGCGGCAGGCCUAACACAUGCAAGUCGAGCGGAUGAGUGGAGCUUGCUCCAUGAUUCAGCGGCGGACGGGUGAGUAAUGCCUAGGAAUCUGCCUGGUAGUGGGGGACAACGUUUCGAAAGGAACGCUAAUACCGCAUACGUCCUACGGGAGAAAGUGGGGGAUCUUCGGACCUCACGCUAUCAGAUGAGCCUAGGUCGGAUUAGCUAGUUGGUGAGGUAAAGGCUCACCAAGGCGACGAUCCGUAACUGGUCUGAGAGGAUGAUCAGUCACACUGGAACUGAGACACGGUCCAGACUCCUACGGGAGGCAGCAGUGGGGAAUAUUGGACAAUGGGCGAAAGCCUGAUCCAGCCAUGCCGCGUGUGUGAAGAAG